rnacentral:rRNA from 1 species
UACGUAGGGCGCAAGCGUUGUCCGGAUUUACUGGGCGUAAAGGGCGCGUAGGCGGCAAUUCAAGUCAUCUGUGAAAUCUCCGGGCUUAACUCGGAACGGUCAGAUGAUACUGCUUUGCUCGAGUGCGGAAGGGGCAAUCGGAAUUCUUGGUGUAGCGGUGAAAUGCGUAGAUAUCAAGAGGAACACCUGAGGUGAAGACGGGUUGCUGGGCUGACACUGACGCUGAUGCGCGAAAGCUAGGGGAGCGAACGGG